CAGACGCUGAGUUUCACUUCUGUCUUGGUAUCCUGGCACAGGCACCACACAGAAUCCCCUUGCCACACGGGUCCUGGAUGGCGCUCGGUCUCUGGUUGUGUCUGCUUGCCCCAGCUCUGUGGGUCGCCAGCCAGGACUCCUGCCAUCCGAAUGGGGCCAUGCCGGCUCCUGAGUUCUCUCUCAAUGCGUCCCAGGCUCAUGUUGGGGACUGGGUUACCAUGAGGUGUCUGAUCCUGGAUAAGUCUCAAGUGAAUCGCGUGAUCUUCUGCAAGGAUGGGCAGGAAAUUGGAAGCCAACAGUUCAACCGCAACAAAUUUUCCCAAGACUUCGCACAUCUCUUCUCUGGCCUGGGGGACACUGGGAAUUUCUCCUGCCGCUACCAGCACAGGACUGACAAUAAUGAGCUGGUUAAUUCCAACCUGAGCAACUCCAGGAUCCUGAGCCUGAGAGAUGCUGCACGUGUCCAGGAUGGAGGUGACUCUGCCAGGCCUGCCAGCACAGGAACCCACGCUUCUCCGAGUGCUGUUGCAGAUAACAACCUGUACCUGGUCCUGGGCAUCUUGGUGCCCUGCGUCCUGCUCCUGGGGCUGGGGCUGCUGUUGCUGCACAGGGUGUCAUCAUCCUGGCGAAGACCUAGGGAGCAGAGCCCCAGCAGCGGUGGCCGCAGCGCUGGCGCUGGCAAUCAUGACGGUGGCAGCGGUGGUGGUGGACACAUCGAGGACCAGCUGCACUAUGCAGCCAUCAGCCAGUUCCACCACUCCAGGACACUGCCCCCCAGGAAGGAUGACAUGGUGACGUAUGCGGCGCUGAGGUAGAGGUGAAGGGACUGGUCAUAGCACUGGACUCCUGCCUGGGCACUGAUCGGGGCCCUGCCAUGGGGUGUGCCCCCCCCCCCUCGAUCCGCUCCCUAUGGCACAGCCAUCCACUGGGGCAUUGGGCCAGCUGCCAGGGGAAAGCACCCCCCUACUUAGCCUCACUCCCUACAGCACAGCGCCCCUAGGGUCGCCGGCCCGCCAGGGAGCUGGCCUAGGAUUCCUACCUCGCUUUGUUUUAUCCUCCAUUUUCAGGAAAAC
ensembl:lncRNA